rnacentral:lncRNA from 1 species
GGUUACAGUGAACUAUAAUCACAUCACUGCACCCAUCCUGGGUGACAGAGCAAGACCCUGUCUCUAAAAAAUAAAGAAAAGGAAAGAAAAUACAAUUUGAGGGAUGUUCAACAAAAUAACUGAUCAGUACUCUUCAGAUGUAUCAAGGUCGUGAAAGAGGUCUGCAUGAGUAUCUGCGGGAUGCCCAGAAAAGCUUACUCUAGAUGGGGCUGCUCCAUGGCUUCUGUCUGACCUACAAUGCCAAAAAUAUUUGAGAGGUUAGGAGAACACAGUAUCUCAAGCUAUACCUCAACACAUAGCCCUCCUGUCUGAGCUUUCUCUUCUGGCCACUAUACCAAGGGUAUUCAAGAUCACAGGAAUCCUGUCAUCCUCACACACCCCCUUUUUAGUGAUAGGGAGGUAUUUGUCUCAUCCUUCUUGUUGCUCUCAACGUGUCUUUCUCCUCUUCUGGGAACACCUAGCAGAAUCUAGAAGAGUUUGAACCAUUACAUAAUAAAAGCUUCUCCAUGAUAACUUCUGCUUUCCUUGUGCAAAAAAACCUUGGGGGAAGAAAAUACCAAGAGUCUCGCCUAGAAAAAAGGUAGUGAGCACAGGAUAUGGAGAAUAUGAAGAAUUAUUUAUCUCAAUACACCUUCCUGCCACAAAAAUUAAUCCAAUGCCCCCACAGUAGUAUGAGGCAGAACUAAAAUUCAAAAUCACUCCUUCAGUUAUGCACACUACCUAAAUAGAAAACUCAUGUGAAGGUUGAGCUCCAGCUGUCGCUGGGCAGGUGCUCCUAGACAGGGAAAAGCAGCAGCUGCAGAUUCUAGCUGAGAGCUGCCCUGUGACCACUCUGAUUGAGAUCACGGUUGGGCAAGAUACACACACUUGAGUCUUCGGGUUUGCAGUUCAAACCUAGAGCUGUCUCAUCUACAGCAGGACAUUCAAUCAUCUUACACGAGAUAAAUGCAGUGUUUCCGAAGGACAGAAUCUAAAUUAUUCUGAUCUUGGAAUUUCCACAUAGUUCAUGGUUAUGUAAAGAUGUGCUUGCCAGAAGCACAAUGACAGCACUAUUAAAGAGCACUUAAAUGGAAGAAGUUUAGGCACCUUCUCAAAUUGUAAUAUUAAUACUUGCACAGGGGUUAGGGGCGCCAACCCCCUACACAGUCAAAAAUCCACACAAAACUUUUGACUCCCCCAAAAUUUAACUACUAAUAGCCUACUGUUGACUGCCUUACUGAUAACAUAAACACUUGAUUAAUACAUAUCUUGUAUGUUGUAUAUAUACAAACGUACAAAAUAUAUACUGUAUUCUUACAAUAAAGUAAGCUAGAGAAAAUAAAAUAUUAAGAAAAUCACAAGGAAGAAAUGUAUUUACUAUUUAUUAAGUGGAACUGGAUCAUCAUAAAGGUCUUCACCUUCAUCAUCUUUACACCGAGCAAGCUGAAGAGGAGGAGGAGGAGGAGAGGUUGGUCUUGCUGUCCCAGGGGCAGCAGAGAUGGAAUAAAAUCCACAUAUAAGUGGACCCAAACAAUUCAAACUCAUGUUGUUUAAGCGUCUACUGUAUAUCCCUUUGAACAAUAAUUUUCAUAUUUCCAGGUAGAAGACUUAUUUUAAUACUGUUUCAAACAAUCAAGAAGCUCAUUUUGUUCUAAAUUAACUUUUUUGCAGUAUAAUAUGAAUUUGUUCUUACUCAGAAACAAAAUUUUAAAUAGCAAAGGAGUCAAGUCAUUGAGAAAACAGAGCCACUUAAUUUUAAAUCUGUCUUUAUUUUUGUUUACAGUAGUAUUUUUAUAUUGACCUCAACUAAUAAAAACACAUUAAAAAUAAAAAAUGCAGGAUGGAGGAGGUGAUGUGGGUCCUCUGAACAGCCAAAAGAGAAGUAAUAAAGUUGAGGUUUUCAUAAGUGAGCCUUUGGACCCACAGUAUUUUGUUUACCCCAGUCCAUUUUUUUCUCUCAGUAAACAUUUUAGAUUUGUUAUGGGGUAUGACAAAAAACAAAGCAAAGGUAGAAAGAAUAACUCUCCAAAGACACACCACCCAAAGACUACCACUGUUAAUAUUUUGAUCUAUUAAAUAUAUUUCUUUUGGAGUCUUUUCCUACUUUUUUUUUUUUUUUUUUUUGUCUUUUUGAGACAGAGUCUCGCUCUGUCACCAAGGCUGGAGUGCAGUGGUGCAAUCUCAACUCACUGCAACCUCCACCUCCUGGGUUCAAGCGAUUCUCCUGCCUCAGCCUCCCAAGUAGCUAGUAUUACUAAUUUUUUGUAUUUUUAGUAGAGAAGGGGUUUCACCGUGUUAGCCAGGAUGGUCUCGAUCUCCUGACCUCAUGGUCUGCCAGCCUCGGCCUCCCAAAGUGCUUGGAUUACAGGUGUAAGCCACCGCAUUGGUCCCUCCUAUAUAUAUUUUCAAAUAUUGACUAUUGUUAAUAUUGUCUGUUUCCUUUUUUCUUCUUCUUUUUUAAGAUGAAGUCUCCCUCUGUUGCCCAGGCCAGAGUGCAGUGGCAUGAUCUCAGCUCACUGCAACCUCUGCCUCCCAGGUUCAAGUGAUUCUCAUGCCUCAGCCUCCCCAAUAGCUGAGAUGACAGGUGGGCACCACCAUGCCUGGCUAAUUUUUGUAUUUUUAGUAGAGACAGCGUUUCACCAUGUUGGUCAGGCUGGUCUGGAACUCCUGACCUUAGGUGAUCCACCCACCUUGACCUCCCAAAGUACGAGAUUAUAGGCAUUAGCCAUGGCACCCGGCCUGUUUCUUUUAUAGUCAUGUUCAAACAGUAUUUAUGUAGUAUUCUGUUUCUUCCUUUUUACUUAUUAUUUCCCCCAUUUAAUAAAUAGACUCUUCAUAAUCCUUUUUAAUGGGUAAUAAUCGUUCAUGUGGCUACAUUAUUUACUUAACCAGUUCCCUAUUGUUGUAUACAGAAAGAAUUGUCUUCCAGAAAAUUCAUUCCUGUGCUUUGCCUCUCAAAUUAGCAUUGGUGUAUGUGGCUAAGUGCCAGGAGUUUCUGGAUACAAGAUAAUAAGUAUCUUCUUGCUGGGCGCAGUGGCUCACGCCUGUAAUCCCAGCACUUUGGGAGGCCGAGGCAGGCGGAUCACGAGGUCAGGAGAUCAAGACCAUCCUGGCUAAUACAGUGAAACCCUGUCUCUACUAAAAAUACAAAAAAUUAGCCAGGCGUGGUGGUGGGAGCCUGUAGUCCCAGUUACUUGGGAGGCUGAGGCAGGAGAAUGGCAGGAACCCGGGAGGCGGAGCUUGCAGUAAGCCGAGAUCACGCCACUGCACUCCAGCCUGGGUGACAGAGCGAAACUCCGUCUCAAAAAAUAAAUAAAUAAAUAUCUUCUCAGGCUCACAAAUUUUUCACAAAAUUGGAAGCAGAGAUUCAUCUAAAAUAGACCCAAUUCUGAUAUAUUAUGAAAUAGAAAUGUGUAUGAAUUUUUAUGAUAAACCAGGAAAAUAAUUUUAAAAAUUAAAUGUGGUUGAAAACUAUUUUGUGGAUAUAUUUGUGAAUUAUAGAUACAACCUGUGUGGAGAGAACUGUGUAGGGUCUUUUGUGAUACUUAAUUUUACAUCUUUUGUAGGUACACAAAAGAAAGCAAUGUCUGUAUGAUUACAUAAGAAAACAAACAAAACCUUGCCUUGCUUUCACUGAAGGAUUCUAGAACUGUGUAUCUUCACUCCUGCUCUAUUUUGUCUAU